rnacentral:tRNA from 2 species
GGGGCCUUGGCGGGCCGGGGUGCCGGGGCCGCCUCGGGCGCGGCCGGGGCCGGACCGCCCCGGGUCAGUCCGGCCUUC